GACGAACGCUGGCGGCGUGCUUAACACAUGCAAGUCGAACGGAAAGGCCCUGCUUUUGUGGGGUGCUCGAGUGGCGAACGGGUGAGUAACACGUGAGUAACCUGCCCUUGACUUUGGGAUAACUUCAGGAAACUGGGGCUAAUACCGGAUAGGAGCUCCUGCUGCAUGGUGGGGGUUGGAAAGUUUCGGCGGUUGGGGAUGGACUCGCGGCUUAUCAGCUUGUUGGUGGGGUAGUGGCUUACCAAGGCUUUGACGGGUAGCCGGCCUGAGAGGGUGACCGGCCACAUUGGGACUGAGAUACGGCCCAGACUCCAACGGGAGGCAGCAGUGGGGAAUAUUGCACAAUGGGCGGAAGCCUGAUGCAGCAACGCCGCGUGCGGGAUGACGGCCUUCGGGUUGUAAGCCGCUUUCGCCUGUGACGAAGCGUGAGUGACGGUAAUGGGUAAAGAAGCUCCGGCUAACUACGUG
rnacentral:rRNA from 1 species